AUACUUACCUGGCAGGGGAGACACCAUGAUCAAUCAGGUGGUUUUCCCAUGUCCUCCACAGGAGGUUUAUAUUGAGCAGAUUCUUUUUGGUAUUGGUUGGUGGAACCGGAGCGUGCUCCAUCCACU
rnacentral:snRNA from 1 species